rnacentral:miRNA from 1 species
GAGCGCCGCCGGACCCAUCUCUUACACAGGCUGACCGAUUUCUCCUGGUGUUCAGAGUCUGUUUUUGUCUAGCACCAUUUGAAAUCGGUUAUGAUGUAGGGGGAAAAGCAGCGGCCUCGA